CAUUUAUAUUCAUUUGUGAAUGUGUGCAAGCAGUGUUACACAUUCAUAUGUUUAUUCUCCAGCACAAUAGCAUUAGCAGGAGUUUGAACCACAGCCCUGAAACAGGGUUGUGCCAUACCUACAAAAAGGGCAGGGCCCUUCAUCUUCUCCACUAAAACUAACAACUACCCACAAACUGUCCUGUCAAUGCAUGCUGUGCACUAGGUGAAUUACUAUCUGUAAAACAGUAAAACAUGUAUUUCUGCAAGUAAACCACAGAUCAGGAGAAGGGCGCAGGCUGAAGGGACCAGAACAAGACACAGAUGAUGAUUUAGUAGGUGAGGAGCCUGAAGUUUUAGAGGGGGAAAGACCUCGUCCUCAGGGUUCCUCUCCUGUUGAGGAAUUCCCCACCACAGAGAAAUACGCGAAACAGGUGAGCGCUACAUUAGACUCUUAUCUUA
rnacentral:lncRNA from 1 species